AGUGAACGCUGGCGGUAGGCCUAACACAUGCAAGUCGAACGGCAGCACAGGAGAGCUUGCUCUCUGGGUGGCGAGUGGCGGACGGGUGAGGAAUACAUCGGAAUCUGCCCAGUCGUGGGGGAUAACGUAGGGAAACUUACGCUAAUACCGCAUACGACCUUCGGGUGAAAGAGGGGGAUCGCAAGACCUCUCGCGAUUGGAUGAGCCGAUGUCGGAUUAGCUAGUUGGCGGGGUAAUGGCCCACCAAGGCGACGAUCCGUAGCUGGUCUGAGAGGAUGAUCAGCCACACUGGAACUGAUACACGGUCCAGACUCCUACGGGAGGCAGCAGUGGGGAAUAUUGGACAAUGGGCGCAAGCCUGAUCCAGCCAUACCGCGUGGGUGAAGAAGGCCUUCGGGUUGUAAAGCCCUUUUGUUGGGAAAGAAAUCUUUCAGGCUAAUACCCUGGGAGGAUGACGGUACCCAAAGAAUAAGCACCGGCUAACUUCGU
rnacentral:rRNA from 1 species